GCUCGCUUCGGCAGUGCAUAUACUAAAAUUGAAACAAUACAGAAGAUUAGCAUGACCCUGCGCAAGGAUGGCAUGCAAAUUUGUGAGGCGUUCUGUAUUUAA